CACAACCCUUCUCGUCCGGUUUGCGGGUCUUUCGAGCAUCCCGAGUGAUACCAGGGUCCUCCAUGGAGGGCUCAGGGAGCAGAGGAAGGGAUGGAUCUCAGGGCCUCCUGCAUGUUAGACGAAACCCUCUCCGAAGAGCAGUUGCCCACACCUGAUAGGGCAAGAGAAUGUGGGGACAUCUUCCUUACUAGAUCCUCAUGGAUACAUGGCUCAAGUCUGGCUUUUUCCUGUACGAAAUCUCCCUAUAAUUUUUAUGUUUGCUCAUGAAACUUGCAUUCACGCUGAGAAUCUUUAUGCAUAGACUCACAGACAAACCUAGGAAAUAGAAAACAAAUGCCUGCCAAUGAUCAUCAAGAAUGAACACAAAACGGGCGCGCACACCCCCACGGAGGGGAUGGGGGGCAGGGAGGAGAAUAUAAAACGAGAGGCGGGGCGCGCACCGCGGCAGAAGGAGCGAAGCUCUGGCCCAGCGAGGAGUGGGCGAGUACCGGGACGCGGGUCCAGGACGCGGGUCCUGGGCAUCAGGCUGUGUGAAGUCAGCGCGCUCACCUAAGCGCUCACCUAACCGUGAUCCUCGCCACCCCGAGCCAGGAACAGCGAUCUCCUAAGGCCCGCCUGAGGCCUCCGUUCCCCGUCCAACGGCAGCGACGACGUCUUGCACCCUGCCAGCUCGGCGCUCCCGACCCUCGACCCUCUCGUGCCCCCGCCCUGCCUCCGCUUCUCCGCGGAUGCAGCCCGAACAAGACCACUCAAGGUGAAGGAUAAUCUAUAAUACCAGCACUUUGAAUGAGAAUUUGUU